GUGUUUUUAGUAUAUACAGUACACUUACCUUCCAAGUAAGAAGAUUAGUAAUUAAAAAACACA
rnacentral:tRNA from 1 species